rnacentral:rRNA from 1 species
AGAGUUUGAUCAUGGCUCAGAUUGAACGCUGGCGGCAGGCCUAACACAUGCAAGUCGAACGGUAACAGGAAGCAGCUUGCUGCUUCGCUGACGAGUGGCGGACGGGUGAGUAAUGUCUGGGAAACUGCCUGAUGGAGGGGGAUAACUACUGGAAACGGUGGCUAAUACCGCAUAACGUCGCAAGACCAAAGAGGGGGACCUUCGGGCCUCUUGCCAUCAGAUGUGCCCAGAUGGGAUUAGCUAGUUGGUGAGGUAACGGCUCACCAAGGCGACGAUCCCUAGCUGGUCUGAGAGGAUGACCAGCCACACUGGAACUGAGACACGGUCCAGACUCCUACGGGAGGCAGCAGUGGGGAAUAUUGCACAAUGGGCGCAAGCCUGAUGCAGCCAUGCCGCGUGUAUGAAGAAGGCCUUCGGGUUGUAAAGUACUUUCAGCGGGGAGGAAGGUGUUGCGGUUAAUAACCGCAGCAAUUGACGUUACCCGCAGAAGAAGCACCGGCUAACUCCGUGCCAGCAGCCGCGGUAAUACGGAGGGUGCAAGCGUUAAUCGGAAUUACUGGGCGUAAAGCGCACGCAGGCGGUCUGUCAAGUCGGAUGUGAAAUCCCCGGGCUCAACCUGGGAACUGCAUUCGAAACUGGCAGGCUUGAGUCUUGUAGAGGGGGGUAGAAUUCCAGGUGUAGCGGUGAAAUGCGUAGAGAUCUGGAGGAAUACCGGUGGCGAAGGCGGCCCCCUGGACAAAGACUGACGCUCAGGUGCGAAAGCGUGGGGAGCAAACAGGAUUAGAUACCCUGGUAGUCCACGCCGUAAACGAUGUCUACUUGGAGGUUGUGCCCUUGAGGCGUGGCUUCCGGAGCUAACGCGUUAAGUAGACCGCCUGGGGAGUACGGCCGCAAGGUUAAAACUCAAAUGAAUUGACGGGGGCCCGCACAAGCGGUGGAGCAUGUGGUUUAAUUCGAUGCAACGCGAAGAACCUUACCUGGUCUUGACAUCCACAGAAGAAUCCAGAGAUGGAUUUGUGCCUUCGGGAACUGUGAGACAGGUGCUGCAUGGCUGUCGUCAGCUCGUGUUGUGAAAUGUUGGGUUAAGUCCCGCAACGAGCGCAACCCUUAUCCUUUGUUGCCAGCGGUCCGGCCGGGAACUCAAAGGAGACUGCCAGUGAUAAACUGGAGGAAGGUGGGGAUGACGUCAAGUCAUCAUGGCCCUUACGACCAGGGCUACACACGUGCUACAAUGGCGCAUACAAAGAGAAGCGACCUCGCGAGAGCAAGCGGACCUCAUAAAGUGCGUCGUAGUCCGGAUUGGAGUCUGCAACUCGACUCCAUGAAGUCGGAAUCGCUAGUAAUCGUGGAUCAGAAUGCCACGGUGAAUACGUUCCCGGGCCUUGUACACACCGCCCGUCACACCAUGGGAGUGGGUUGCAAAAGAAGUAGGUAGCUUAACCUUCGGGAGGGCGCUUACCACUUUGUGAUUCAUGACUGGGGUGAAGUCGUAACAAGGUAACCGUAGGGGAACCUGCGGUUG